GGCAGAGUCCCGUGGCGCUUUGGGAACGGGUGUCUCUGCGUGCGGGUUGCCAACCUAGGAUGGAUCAUUUCCACGGGACUCUCCAAAGAGGAGCAGAAUGCACAGGCAGAAAGAGAGACGGAGUGAAUUUUCCUCCUGUUGGGCUAUCGACAUACAGAGAAGGAAGAGAGAAUUCAAUAUAUCGUUAUCUUUGUUCAAGCAGCUGUGUAUCCAGAAGUGCCGCAUUUCCAAGGGACAAAACAUAUUUCUCUCUAUCCGUUUCAAAAUCUCUGGCCGUUCUUUUCUCUACCAAAGAAGUAUGACCGGAUUUUCUGAAGCUCCUUGAAAUUCUACAGAAAACCAGCGCUUUUUUUUUAAAAAAAAAAAAAAGUAAAAAAAUUAAUUAAUUCCAUUUCAAAAUGCCCAAGCAGCCUGUGUCUUCUUUGCCAGGAGCAGACAACAUUUCAAGGACCUGCCUGCCUUCGCUUUAUCGCACAGCCUUUUCUAGGAAUCCCCGAUGUGUCAGCUGCACGGCCGGGAGGAUUUCAGGAAUAAUCGCGAAAUUCCUGUGACAGGUUUUGCGCGUGUGUGGCUGGAUCUAGCCACUUUCGGCAGAGAAAUAUUAGUCCCGGAUGCAAAGCACCGCCGUGGAGCCAGGAGAUGAACCCCUCCGUGGUGCGAAUCGCGCAAAU
rnacentral:lncRNA from 1 species